rnacentral:rRNA from 1 species
UACGUAGGGUGCGAGCGUUGUCCGGAAUUACUGGGCGUAAAGAGCUCGUAGGUGGUUUGUCGCGUUGUCCGUGAAAACUCACAGCUUAACUGUGGGCGUGCGGGCGAUACGGGCAGACUGGAGUACUGCAGGGGAGACUGGAAUUCCUGGUGUAGCGGUGGAAUGCGCAGAUAUCAGGAAGAACACCCGUGGCUAAGGCGGCUCUCUAGUACGGUACUGACGCUGAGACGCGAAAGCGUGGGGAGCGAACAGG